rfam:Candidatus Melainabacteria bacterium RIFOXYA2_FTLL_32_9 rifoxya2_full_scaffold_3631, whole genome shotgun sequence.
GCCCAUGUGGCGCAGGGGUAGCGCAUCCCCUUGGUAAGGGGAAGGUCACGAGUUCAAAUCUCGUCAUGGGCU